AUAAGCACAGAGCUUUUAAAGACAUUCUGACUUGCCUAAUUGAGGUCGCACUCGCCAAGGCUGAGGAUGUGUAACCCUUAAACGGUCUUCAUUUUCAAAGGAAAUGUCGACCACAUUGGACUGUCAGAGGAGCUCCGUGUGACAUAGAGCAAAGGAACUGCUUCCGGGAAGGCUACUUAAGGACAGUCACCUCACCAUCGUGCCUACUCAGCAAAUGAACCAACCACUGGCUCUCGAACUUGACAGUCAUCAAUCGAUUAUUGUUGUUUUGUCCCAGAUUUAUGUUUUUGGAAUGCUUUUAUGAA